rnacentral:rRNA from 1 species
GCAAGUCGAACGAGAACGGGUAUUAGCUUGCUAAUACUGUCAGCUAAGUGGCGCACGGGUGAGUAAUGUAUAGUUAACCUGCCCUCGAGAAAGGAAUAACAGUUGGAAACGACUGCUAAUGCCCUAUAUGCCUAUAAGACAUAAGUCUGCUAGGGAAACGCUUUUGUGCUCGAGGAUGGGACUGUAUGGUAUCAGGUAGUUGGUGAGGUAAUGGCUCACCAAGCCAAUGACGCCUAACUGGUUUGAGAGGAUGAUC